rnacentral:rRNA from 1 species
UACGAAGGGGGCUAGCGUUGCUCGGAAUCACUGGGCGUAAAGGGUGCGUAGGCGGGUUUUUAAGUCAGGGGUGAAAUCCUGGAGCUCAACUCCAGAACUGCCUUUGAUACUGAAGAUCUUGAGUUCGGGAGAGGUGAGUGGAACUGCGAGUGUAGAGGUGAAAUUCGUAGAUAUUCGCAAGAACACCAGUGGCGAAGGCGGCUCGCUGGCCCGAUACUGACGCUGAGGCACGAAAGCGUGGGGAGCAAACAGG